AUAAAUUAUACACUUUCAUACUUUAUUACUUGUUGAAGAAGGAUUUUAAGACGAUUCUAAAAGCCUCUACAUCGAAACGUUCUGAAGGAAACACAACCUUCGUUUAGUGACAACAUGUUAGACACUUGAAUAUUGGAAUAGAUGGUACAUAAUUGCAAAUUAGAAUAGACAAGGAUAGCAUUAGUAACCCGGUAUACAAGUUUAUCAUUGGCCAAAUGAAGUUGCGGCUGGUCUCCAAUUGUCCUUCCAAGGUUUAAGGUUUGGUUAGUUUGGUUGGUGGUCCAUAGUGCAACGAUCAUUGAUGUGAUCCAACCCAGUUCGAACCCGUCAGCCGGCCAGAUCUGGAAUGGGUGUCAGCUCAGCUUCGGUAACAUAAGAAAAAAAAGGGAAAGCAGGAUUGUCAUUUGUUGAAAGAAAACCAGGACUAUAAGAAGAAAUCGAAAGAAAGAAAAAGCUCUCUUUUGUUGUUCCUGAUCAAUUCAAGAGGUGGGGAAGAACGUAGCGAGGGUAAUGGGGAUCUGUGGCAUUUUUUUAUCUGAUCCAAUUAUUGUCGUCGUCUCCGUUCUUUCUCUUGCUCUAUGCCUCUUCCAGCUCGUCGAACCCAUUUCGAAAUGUAUGGUGGUCUAUUGGGCAUUACCAUUACAGAUCACAGGAUUUGGGAUUCUUCUAAGAUUUCUAAAAGUUUACGUAAUUUUGUAUUCUUGUUCGUUCAUAUUUCAUACGGAUUCGAUUGGU
rnacentral:lncRNA from 1 species